ACACCUUCUGCUGGAGACUUACAAAAGGACAUUGGAAGAAGGAAGAUUCUCUCUGCUUCACCUGCUUGCCUUGUGGGACUGAGCAACUGCUAGAUCCUUGGACUUCCAUUCACAGCUG
rnacentral:miRNA from 14 species